UACGUAGGGAGCAAGCGUUGUCCGGAAUCAUUGGGCGUAAAGCGCGCGUAGGUGGCUUUGUAAGUCCGCUGUGAAAGUCAAAGGCUCAACCUUUGAAAGCCGGUGGAUACUGUGGAGCUAGAGUCCGGAAGAGGCGAGUGGAAUUCCUGGUGUAGCGGUGAAAUGCGCAGAUAUCAGGAAGAACACCAAUGGCGAAGGCAGCUCUCUGGGACGGUACUGACGCUGAGACGCGAAAGCGUGGGGAGCGAACAGG
rnacentral:rRNA from 1 species